AUCCAACAGUUCUCUUAAAGCGGCACAGUUAUCCUUCCUUUAUUUAAGGUAUCCCAGCUUCCGUUGGUCCCCUCAGUCCCUCAAGUCUCUCAGCUCUCAAGGACACGACAAACUCUGCACUCCAGCCUGUGAAAUACCUGGAACGUAUUUCAGAUACAUGUAACUAGGGCUGGUAAGAACUAUUUUUCAUGGUGCGUGAAUAUAAAUACCUACAGCCGGGAUCAAACAAACUCUUGCUGCUAGACAUUGCAGAGGCUGAUGAGUAUCGAAGAAAAGGAUAUGGGACUUCAUAAAAAGAGCUAUCACCAGAAGUGGGAUUCAGUUUGUGGCAAGGAGCGAGGCACGACGACCAGGAGGUGGUCAUCCGGGUACACAGUCCUACACCAACUAGUCUCACACUCAAGGGCACGGACGAUCACAGCCAGACAACAGGAAAAGCAACGAAGACAGUCUCGGGGCAGUGAAGAACAUCUAUAACGGCGUCAUAAUGUGGCAAGACAUUGCCUGUCACCAGUCUGUCAUCUGUGAAGCCAGCCUUUGAUAUAUUUUGCCAGAAAAUGACCUGGUUUCCUGAAUGAUAGUUGUAAAAUAUGAAUUUCAACUAGC